GCUGGGUAUAGUGGCUCGUGCCUGUAGUCCCAGCUACUUGGGAGGCUGAGGCAGGAGAAUCGCUUGAGCCUGGGAGACUGAGCCUGCAGUGAGCUAUGAUGGUACCACUGCACUCCAGCCUGGGCAACAGAGCGAGACCGUGUCUCAA
ensembl:misc_RNA Metazoa_SRP Metazoan signal recognition particle RNA